CAGGUGCUGAUAUGCCUGUAACUAGUAAAUCCGCAAUGCAUACACCCAACAACAGUGGAUUUCUCAAUCUUACAGAUGAGGCCGAGCACAGUCUAAUGGCUAACAGUAAGAUUGUUAUCGAUGGAAUAGCAUGUUCAGUGUCUCCACUCGCCUCUGGGCCAUAAGAAUUUGUUAUCGUGAAAUUUCCGUAAUUAUCGUAGUCGAAAUCAUGACCUCCAGGUUCAAGACUUCCACCUCCAUCAUAAGAAUUGUCGUCAAGAAGUGUGUAAUGCAAAACUUGGGUUUUGAUAUUGCCUUGGCUUACGAUAUUAAUAUUGCUAUCGACUGUGGCUUCUAGUUGUUGGUGUCGACGCUAUGUUUCCAGAUGAGUGAAAUCGACUUUUUUCCGCCCAACUCCAUAUAAAAAAUGGAUUUGCUUAAUUUUUGGGGCGUAAUUUCGUUCCGUAGUUUCCAGCACAAAAAAUCGAUACUCCUAUACUUGAAUGUAUGUGGAUAUCAAAUCAGCAGUUUCACAUGUGAAAAAAUAGACAACCUAAUAUUCCCAUUCAUAUCCGCAAAGUGAAGAGAACUAUAAAGAUGGAUAAUUAAAAAAAAUAAAUAAAAAGAAAGCGUCUGAGACAUUUUCUCAUGAAUCGAAACACAUUAACAUUAAUUAAUAAUUUGGAGUCACAAGACUAUAUAUGAAAUUUUAAAUCAAAAAUAUAUUGCAACGAAGUUGAAAUAAUAUGCGCUUGGGAUAUUGUCACCAUAAAAAUAGGCAAUGAAUAUGAUUUCAUCUGUUUUUUUUUUAAUAAUUGCAUUUAUUUAAUAGGCAAAUGUUUAACUGCUGUGGCCAUAGAUUUAUGUUUUUUGCCAUUUCCGUGCCAAAUUUAGGUU